UACUCUGUUCAAGAUUUGACUUUAACGCUACUUAAUCCUUACCACCACCAUUGAUUGUGUCAUGACUAUCAACCGGAACACUGAAGCUUAGCAAGGUCUGUGGAUUUCAUAAAGACCAACACAAGUGUCUGAGCGAGUCUGCAUGGGAGGUUGAUCUCAGCCUUGCUCUGGGUUCACACAGCUCCAAAGUCAUGAAGAAUGUAAAAUGGAACUUCAGGGUGUGUGUGAAGAAAGAGACCUGACUCUCUGCAGCCCUCUCCAGGCUGAGCAAGCAGGGCUCUGUGUUGGCUGGAGUGGGAGGGCAAUAGUUUUGUUCUCCUAAAUCACUAGGGUAGAAGUUCCCUGGGAGCUGGGAGACAAUGCAGAGGGGUUGACAGUGCAAACUCUGUCCCAAAUCUUUACCUUGGGCAGACUUCAUCAUGUACAAUUAAAGGCUAGGGAACUCUGUUUACUUCCCUCUUCUUCUUCUUUUUUUUUUUCCCCCUGGAAAUACCCCUUGUUUCCUAUGAAUCCAGGUGUGCAUUUAUAAGGAUGUCUAUUAUAUUUUAAUCACCACAUUCUCUGGCCCAAGGUACUUCCAGAACAAGAAAACCAGACUGCCUUUUUAUUGUCUCCUUAACUGGGUGUUCCCCUCUCCCUCCAGGGUGGCUAGACUAUAGGACCACACUGGGAGAAACCCUUGGUGUUCUUUCCCUUGCUGUCUAUAGUGGUACCACCUCAAUUUUAAAAUGCAGGUGUGGACAAGUUCUACUUAAGACUUUCCAAAGGCUUCCUACGUCUGCAGGACAAAGCCAAAACUGCCCAGAAGAAUGUGUAAACUGUGAUCUGCUGCCAUUAACGCCUGUGGCCACACAGCCCACUUGAUUAGAGUGCAUCCCCAAGGGACUACUUUCUGGUUUGCAAGCAUGGCCUUUAGUUCUUCCCUUCUAGCCCUGCACACAUGAGUUUCCCUUCUUCAGCUCCUGUUUGCUAGUCAGCUAGUCCUUCGUGUCUCAUAUCUCCACUGAAAUAUCACUCGUUGGGGGCUGGAGCAAUGGCACAGUUGAUAGUGUAAGGACGAGGACCUGUGCUUGGUCUUCACAACUCGGCACUGGAGAUGCGGAGACAGGCCUCUUCCUAGGGCUCACCGGACAGCCAGACUAGCCAACCCGGUGAGUUCCGGGCCAGUCAAUGAGAGUCCCUGUCUCAUUAAAAAAA